rnacentral:miRNA from 1 species
UGGGGUUAAAAUGCGGAACGGAACGAAUAUGAGGUUAAAACUUAAUUUAAAACCCAUAUUCGUUCCGUUCCGCAUUUUAACCCCAUAUCCUUAC